rnacentral:rRNA from 1 species
CCUACGGGUGGCAGCAGUGGGGAAUAUUGCACAAUGGGGGAAACCCUGAUGCAGCGACGCCGCGUGAGUGAAGAAGUAAUUCGUUAUGUAAAGCUCUAUCAGCAGGGAAGAAAAUGACGGUACCUGAGUAAGAAGCCCCGGCUAACUACGUGCCAGCAGCCGCGGUAAUACGUAGGGGGCAAGCGUUAUCCGGAUUUACUGGGUGUAAAGGGAGCGUAGACGGCAGUGCAAGUCUGGAGUGAAAGGCGGGGGCUCAACCCCCGGACUGCUCUGGAAACUGUACGGCUGGAGUGCAGGAGAGGCAGACGGAAUUCCUAGUGUAGCGGUGAAAUGCGUAGAUAUUAGGAGGAACACCAGUGGCGAAGGCGGUCUGCUGGACAGCAACUGACGCUGAGGCGCGAAAGCGUGGGGAGCAAACAGGAUUAGAUACCCUUGUAGUC